CCCGUAAAUACUUCACAUCUUUGUGACCACAUUUCGCUAGCAAAAUUCCUCCCAAAUCCUGAUGAAGACCACGUUUCAUGUUCAAAAUUUUGGGAACCUUAGCCGCACCAUCUCACUCUCCCUCGGUCUCGCUCAUCAGUCCCCUUCUCUCUCGCGACUCUCUCCUCAAUCGACGCACCGCACCACCGCAUCCCUCUCUCCCCUCCCUCUGUUGACUCCCUUUCUCUCCCUCUGACCAAACCCUAAGUCCCCGUGGGACCUCUUGGCAUCGACGGCGAACAAUCAGUUCCACUUCAGUCACGAUCAGUAGGCCAUUCUGGCAGUGAAGCUUCGGCAACACCAGAUCAGCGGCAGCGGAGGGAGUUCUCCAGCGGCGGCAGCGGCCAAGUCGUCGUUGCUUCAACAACGGUUGUCGUUUCAGCCCAGAGGUGUUGCCGUGGGGAUUUCCGGUGAUUCGAAUCAGAGUGUUUGCACCAAACGAAACAAGUACUACGAUUUUUUAGCAAAGGACAAAUCUGUCUCUCCAAACUCAUCUUCUCCACAAAAGGUGGUUUUCAAAGGGGUAGCGUCAGAUUCAGAAAAGGCGAUGUACCAAGCAGUGAAGGAUGCAUUGGAGUUUAGGAGUUUAUGAAAGCCAAUGCGACAAGGGAUUCGGGGAGAUCAAUUGUUACGAGUAGUGGACCUGCUGUGGCUCCCAAUGGCAACUGCUGCCUCAUGGGAGCUUAAAGGUUAAUGUUGAUGGUGUGUGGAUGGCUUUUGGGCAAAAUGGUGGAAAUAUGGCAGGUGCAGGUAUAGUUAUAGAAGUGCUGACUGCAAUUCUGUAGCUACCAGAGCUGUUAAUUUGGGAAUGGUAGGUUCAGUUUUGUGCGCAGAGGCUAUGGCUUGAAGGGCUGCAUUAGAAUUCGCUCAUUUUUUGGGGCUAAGCCGGAUUAUGGUCAAAGAGGAUUCACACCAGUGAGUUCAAAUUCUGGGCAGUAGGGCAAUUUGCCCAGUGGGGGUGGAUGUGGUCGUUGAUGAUAUCAAUGGAAGUGUGAGUUUGUUUUUGUCCGAAGGAUGGUGAAUGCGGUUGCAGAUAGAUUGGCGAAGUCUGGAGUGCGUGGAAUUAAGGUUUGAACUUGGGAAGCUCGACCUAUAACCAUCUUUUUUAUGUAUUAGUUUCGUAUCUUAUAUAUCAAUAAAACUUCCUACCAUUUUGACAAAAAAAAGACAAACCUUCUGCAUUGAGCAAAGCUCUCUCAAAAAGCUCUCACACAUCUCAUGCGUUAUAAUGUAAGGAUCCCACGCCUUGAGGGGAAAUGUAAAUUACCUUUCGUGGUGCAAUUUUCACAUUAUUCUUUGCAUUCUUUA